rnacentral:rRNA from 1 species
GUCUACGGUCAUACCACCUUGUACACACACGUCUCAUCUGACCUUGGAAGCUAAGCAGGGUUGGCCCUGGUUAGUAUAUGGAUGGGGUAAACAAACGAUGGAUCGUGUUUG